rnacentral:lncRNA from 1 species
CGGAAUGGCUUCUGCAACCUUUGCAUGUGUGUUAUCUGUAACAAGUUUGAUUUUGAAGUGAAUACCUGCCGUUGGAUUGGUUGUGAUCUGUGUUCUCAUUGGACUCACACAGAUUGUGCUAUUCGUGAUGUACUAAUUUGCAUGGGCCCUUCUGUUAAGAGUGGAGCAGGUGCUGGUGAGAUGCUCUUCAGGUGCCGUGCUUGCAAUAGAACAUCAGAGCUGUUAGGCUGGGUUAAAGAUGUGUUCCAACAUUGUGCACCUGCAUGGGACCGUGAGGCUCUGAUGAGAGAACUUGAUUUUGUUAGUAGAAUUUUCCGUGGGAGUGAGGAUACCAGAGGAAGGAAACUUUUUUGGAAGUGCGAGGAACUCAUUGAAAAAAUGAAAGGUGGAGUUCCUGAGUCAGCAGCUUGUAGAGUGA